UACGUAGGGGGCUAGCGUUGUCCGGAAUCAUUGGGCGUAAAGCGCGUGUAGGCGGUCCGGUAAGUCCGCUGUGAAAGUCGGGGGCUCAACCCUCGGAUGCCGGUGGACUACUGUCGGGCUUGAGGUACGGAAGAGGCGAGUGGAAUUCCUGGGUGUAGCGGUGAAAAUUCGCGGCAGGAUAGUCAAGGAAGAAUACCCCGUGGCGUAAAGGGCGG
rnacentral:rRNA from 1 species